rnacentral:rRNA from 1 species
CCGAGGAGUCCCAGUCGGCUGCGAGUCGUUGGAGCGAAUCGAGCUACUAACUCCGACGGCACAGUGAAAGCGAGAACGUGACACGUCGUCGCCACCGUCCGCGGUGGCGGCGUCUCGAAGCAUCGUUCCCGGGUCGGGCCAGCGCGCGUCGCAUACGCGGUCGCUCGCUUUGCGUGUGUGCAGCAGGCGUUGCUUUCGGGUGGCGCUUUCUCGCGCGCGCGCGGGGUUGGCGGCGGCAGCGGCGCGCGCUCCGACUCAGGUCUAGCAGACGGCCGGGGACCCGAAAGAUGGCGAUCCACGCCCGGUCGGGACGAAGCCAGAGGAAACUCUGGUGGAAGUCCGAAGCGCCUCUGACGUGCAAAUCGAUCGUCGGAACCGGGUGUAGGGGCGAAAGACCAAUCGAGCCGUCUA